GGGUUGUGAGGUUAAGCGACUAAGCGUACACGGUGGAUGCCCUGGCAGUCAGAGGCGAUGAAGGACGUGCUAAUCUGCGAUAAGCGUCGGUAAGGUGAUAUGAACCGUUAUAACCGGCGAUUUCCGAAUGGGGAAACCCAGUGUGAUUCGUCACACUAUCAUUAACUGAAUCCAUAGGUUAAUGAGGCGAACCGGGGGAACUGAAACAUCUAAGUACCCCGAGGAAAAGAAAUCAACCGAGAUUCCCCCAGUAGCGGCGAGCGAACGGGGAGGAGCCCAGAGCCUGAAUCAGUGUGUGUGUUAGUGGAAGCGUCUGGAAAGGCGCGCGAUACAGGGUGACAGCCCCGUACACAAAAAUGCACAUGCUGUGAGCUCGAUGAGUAGGGCGGGACACGUGGUAUCCUGUCUGAAUAUGGGGGGACCAUCCUCCAAGGCUAAAUACUCCUGACUGACCGAUAGUGAACCAGUACCGUGAGGGAAAGGCGAAAAGAACCCCGGCGAGGGGAGUGAAAAAGAACCUGAAACCGUGUACGUACAAGCAGUGGGAGCACAGAGCAAUCUGUGUGACUGCGUACCUUUUGUAUAAUGGGUCAGCGACUUAUAUUCUGUAGCAAGGUUAACCGAAUAGGGGAGCCGAAGGGAAACCGAGUCUUAACCGGGCGUUAAGUUGCAGGGUAUAGACCCGAAACCCGGUGAUCUAGCCAUGGGCAGGUUGAAGGUUGGGUAACACUAACUGGAGGACCGAACCGACUAAUGUUGAAAAAUUAGCGGAUGACUUGUGGCUGGGGGUGAAAGGCCAAUCAAACCGGGAGAUAGCUGGUUCUCCCCGAAAGCUAUUUAGGUAGCGCCUCGUGAAUUCAUCUCCGGGGGUAGAGCACUGUUUCGGCAAGGGGGUCAUCCCGACUUACCAACCCGAUGCAAACUGCGAAUACCGGAGAAUGUUAUCACGGGAGACACACGGCGGGUGCUAACGUCCGUCGUGAAGAGGGAAACAACCCAGACCGCCAGCUAAGGUCCCAAAGUCAUGGUUAAGUGGGAAACGAUGUGGGAAGGCCCAGACAGCCAGGAUGUUGGCUUAGAAGCAGCCAUCAUUUAAAGAAAGCGUAAUAGCUCACUGGUCGAGUCGGCCUGCGCGGAAGAUGUAACGGGGCUAAACCAUGCACCGAAGCUGCGGCAGCGACACUGUGUGUUGUUGGGUAGGGGAGCGUUCUGUAAGCCUGUGAAGGUGUGCUGUGAGGCAUGCUGGAGGUAUCAGAAGUGCGAAUGCUGACAUAAGUAACGAUAAAGCGGGUGAAAAGCCCGCUCGCCGGAAGACCAAGGGUUCCUGUCCAACGUUAAUCGGGGCAGGGUGAGUCGACCCCUAAGGCGAGGCCGAAAGGCGUAGUCGAUGGGAAACAGGUUAAUAUUCCUGUACUUGGUGUUACUGCGAAGGGGGGACGGAGAAGGCUAUGUUGGCCGGGCGACGGUUGUCCCGGUUUAAGCGUGUAGGCUGGUUUUCCAGGCAAAUCCGGAAAAUCAAGGCUGAGGCGUGAUGACGAGGCACUACGGUGCUGAAGCAACAAAUGCCCUGCUUCCAGGAAAAGCCUCUAAGCAUCAGGUAACAUCAAAUCGUACCCCAAACCGACACAGGUGGUCAGGUAGAGAAUACCAAGGCGCUUGAGAGAACUCGGGUGAAGGAACUAGGCAAAAUGGUGCCGUAACUUCGGGAGAAGGCACGCUGAUAUGUAGGUGAAGUCCCUCGCGGAUGGAGCUGAAAUCAGUCGAAGAUACCAGCUGGCUGCAACUGUUUAUUAAAAACACAGCACUGUGCAAACACGAAAGUGGACGUAUACGGUGUGACGCCUGCCCGGUGCCGGAAGGUUAAUUGAUGGGGUCAGCGCAAGCGAAGCUCUUGAUCGAAGCCCCGGUAAACGGCGGCCGUAACUAUAACGGUCCUAAGGUAGCGAAAUUCCUUGUCGGGUAAGUUCCGACCUGCACGAAUGGCGUAAUGAUGGCCAGGCUGUCUCCACCCGAGACUCAGUGAAAUUGAACUCGCUGUGAAGAUGCAGUGUACCCGCGGCAAGACGGAAAGACCCCGUGAACCUUUACUAUAGCUUGACACUGAACAUUGAGCCUUGAUGUGUAGGAUAGGUGGGAGGCUUUGA
rnacentral:rRNA from 1 species